AUGCAGUCCGAGGCGGACGACAGCGCCAUGGACCAUUUCGUCCGGGAGUGGAUGAAGCAGGUCCGCGAGCUCGCCUACGACGCCGAGGACUGCGUCGACCUCUACGUCUUCCGCAUCCGCUGCCUCCUCAGCGACGCCUUCCUCGCCCGCCUAAGGCGCGUGCUCACCACGCUCUCCCUCCGCCGCCGCCUCGGCAGCGACGUCGAGGCCCUCCGCGCCCGCGCCGUCAUCAUCAGCGAGCGCCACGCGCGGUACGGCGUCAGCCGCGAGGCGCUGCGCCGCUCGCUGCACCUGGCCCCCGUCUCCACGGGAUCGGCUGCCUCCGCGCGUGCGCUGCGCGCCGCCAACCACCCCGACCAGUUCGUCGGCAUGACGGACCAGGCUAGCACCCUGGCCGAGAGGGUGAAGGGCGCCGUGGACAGCAACGACAUCGUCGGCGACGGCGCUGACCGGAAGCUCAGCGUGUUCUCCAUCGUCGGGUUCGCGGGGCUCGGGAAGACCACGCUGGCCAUGGAGGUGUGCCGGCGGCUGGACACACAGUUCCAACGCCAGGCGCAGGUGUCCGUGUCGCAGGCGUUCGACGGCCGAAACGACGUCGGGGGCCUUCUCAAGCGCGUGCUGCAGCAGAUCGUCAAGCCCAAGGCGGGAAAUGAUAAAGGCAUCAAGGAAGAAGACUCUGCGGGUGACAUCGACCACAUGGAUUCGGACACGCUCGCCAAAACGCUCAAGGAGCUUCUCAAGGACAAGAGGUACACACAUACACAUGCAUGUUAA
rnacentral:rRNA from 1 species